rfam:Comamonadaceae bacterium CG2_30_59_20 cg2_3.0_scaffold_2410_c, whole genome shotgun sequence.
GACCCCAUCGUCUAGAGGCCUAGGACACUACCCUUUCACGGUAGGUACCGGGGUUCGAAUCCCCGUGGGGUCG